rnacentral:rRNA from 1 species
ACGGAGGGUGCAAGCGUUAUCCGGAUUCACUGGGUUUAAAGGGUGCGUAGGUGGGCAGGUAAGUCAGUGGUGAAAUCUCUGGGCUUAACCCAGAAACUGCCGUUGAUACUAUCUGUCUUGAAUGUAGUGGAGGUGAGCGGAAUAUGUCAUGUAGCGGUGAAAUGCUUAGAUAUGACAUAGAACACCAAUUGCGAAGGCAGCUCGCUACACUACUAUUGACACUGAGGCACGAAAGCGUGGGGAUCAAACAGGA